AAACCUACAGCCCAUCUCAAGCAACCUCCUCGUUUAUCUACAACAUGCCUACAAGACUCAUCAUACUGCAACUAGCCUCAAGUUUAGUAACGGUUUGGACCAGGAUUGACUCCAGCAUCCCUGUCUGGCGUGUAGUUAUUCUGGUAUUGUCCAGGAUCAUUCCAUCCUGCAUUAGAAGGUGGAGCCAUGUUGUUUGGUGGCACCCCUCCCGGGUUAUUGGGAGGCAUCUGAUUGUAGUUGUUGGGCGGCAUCUGAUUGUAGCUGUUGGGAGGCACCUGAUUAUAGCUGUUCGGUGGCCCAGAAUUCCAGUUGUUGCUUGGCUGGGGAUUAUUGUAGUUGUUUGGUGGACCCAUGUUGGGAGGCGGCAUUGGAGCCCUGUUCGGGGGUGGAGGACCCAUGUUGGGAGGCUGCAUUGGACCCCUGUUGGGGGGUGGAGGACCCAUGUUGGCAGGUCCAGGUCCCGAAUUUGGCCCAGCUUGAUUAGGCAUAGGAGAUGGACCCGUAUUCUGAAAAUCACGAUUCUGCAUAUUUUCCCUUCUCCUUUCAAAGUUCCUUGAUCUGUCAAAGUUACGAGGUCUGUCAUUACGCCUGUUUCUCUCAUUUGCUCGACUAUUGUUUCUUAUCCAUUCCUCAUGGUACUUGGGAUCAUAUGGCACUGCUUGGCCAUUAAUAAAAGGUUCACCUGCCAAAACAAACAAGAAAGCAAACAAAUCAUGAAUAAUAGAAUUUUCCUGGUUAACUUAGUUGAAAACAAUAUAGAAAAGGCUAUACAAUGUAGAAAAAACACACGCUGUUUAAUAUUACUAUAACUCUCGGUACCUGGACCACAAUUCUUGGGAGUACAGAAAUUUUGAAAUGAAAAUUACCAUGGAUCAUUUUUUCGGAUGCAAUCGACACACGAAACUGGUUAGUUCAAAAUUAUGAUAUUUUACAUGAAAACUCUGUACACAAUAUUCACUAGGGUUGCAGAAAGCCUUCAACAGGUUAUAUUUCACCGGUUCUACACACCACUAGCACUGCUACAACAUCAACUGCCUAAUAACUUUCAUCUGUAACAUUCUAGAGCCUCAAACUAUCCUUUGUCAGAAAAAAUAAAGAAAUAAAUUUAAAAUCAAAAUAUCAUCAGACUGCCAGAGCUAUUACGGAAUGGGACUUAUGACUUAAAUGAAUCGAUUGCUAUAAAUAAUUUGUUUUCUUUGAAAUUCAACUUGAAGAAACAAGCAUAUCCGUACCUCCAUAAUCUUUGUUCUUAACAUCCAAGUAGGAAUCAGGAAGUACCCAACGGACUCCAGGCAACUCUGCAACAAGAAUUUUACAAAUACACACACAUGUAUAAAUAUGAGAACCCAGACACAAGAAAAUAAUAAAAUCCCAACUUAGAAGCAGAAUCACCUUUGAUUUUGAGUGAAACCUCUUCAGAUACAAGUGCCCCAAACGCAUAAUAGCACCUAGUUGAAACUGAGUAGAUCUUCAUUCUUGCUUCUUCCUCACUGCAGUUCAGCCGAAUGCGUACAAGCAAUCCAAACUUGGUUAUAUAAAUCUUCAUUACAAAAUAUAAAUCAUAGGAAACACAAACAAUAGGAAUACAGUACAAUCCUAUGUGCUUUUUGAAAUGUGAAAGCCAUGAAUCUUACAAAAACUUUAGUCUGUAAAAAAAAAGUGAUCAAGACCAUGCUAUAAGAAACAUGAUUAAGACCAUACUAUUUAAGAGAUCAUUAAGACCCUGCCACAAAGUGGGGUUAUAGUUUAGAUUUUGAACAUCAAAAGCCUACAAAAAAAGUUAAUGAGUUUUGCUUUUGUUAGAACUUCAAAACAUAAAACCCAACAUUAAGAAUUGCACCCCCAAAUUUUGGCUGAAAUAUACAGAAACAAAAGAAAUUUAGCAAAACACACACAUUUAUGUGAUAUAAAAAAAAUAAAGUCAAAAACCCUACAAAAAUGAUAUAAAGGCCAAUUGCAAUUACAAAAUCAUUUCCUAUCUUACUACAGCUAUAGUGAUCCCAAAUUCAGACCAUAACAAAACAGCUGCAUACAACAGAAAGCCAUUAACUUUUACAGAGCACGGUAUCAAGAAAAUGUUCAUAUAUUAUGUUAUACACCAUAAUCGAGUCGGUGUAUAACACAAAUAAACUAAUAUCCUACAACAAGAUAAAUGCCAGAGAGUAGCAUGUGCAUACAACCCUCCCCCAAUAGAGAAACAACCUUUUGUAUUUUCUCAAACAAAAGUUUCCUGGUGCAAUACAAAUCAACUUAACCCAAAAUUCUACUGUGAGCGAAAAAGGGAAAAUUAAAAAGCUACAACUUUGAAAAAACAUAUACAGAUAAAAAUUGAAAAUGAAUUAAAGAAACAAAUACACUAUAAACACAGACAUAUAAAUUCUAAAACUCCAUUUCCAAUUCUGAUUUCUCGUAAUCCAAAGACAUUAAAAGUAAGAAAAAUGAUUAAAUUAGACAGAAAUUAAUAGCAGGUGUUACCUUCCGACGACGGUAGCUAGGGUUUUGAUGUAGCUAUUGAUGAUCUCAUCCCUAGUGAUAUCACCCUGAGGGGCCUCCAUGACAACCAACCAGUGCUCGAAGUCACACCCGUCGAGGAGGAUCGUCUCCUUGGGAGGCCGGUUCGACCAGUUAGGGUUCGGGUCCCUGAGCGAUGACGUCGUCGAUCUGGUCGACAAGCACCGGGCGAUCGCAGGGGAGAGCCUGCCGGCGGAGGCCAUGACUCCGGCAAGAGGGCGGAGGCGGUGGAGGAGAGAGA
rnacentral:lncRNA from 1 species